UUUCCCGUAAGGCGCCGAAUGAGUCAUCAAAAAUUAACAUCAUCCGAUCCCUAGUCGGCAUAGUUUAUGGUUAAGACUACGACGGUAUCUGAUCGUCUUCGAUCCCCUAACUUUCGUUCUUGAUUAAUGAAAACAUCCUUGGCAAAUGCUUUCGCAGUAGUUAGUCUUCAAUAAAUCCAAGAAUUUCACCUCUGACAAUUGAAUACUAAUGCCCCCAACUAUCCCUAUUAAUCAUUACGUCAAUCCUAGAAACCAACAAAAUAGGAUCAAACGUCCUAUUUCAUUAUUCCAUGCUAAUGUAUUCAAGCGUUAGCUUGCUUUAAACACUCUAAUUUUUUCAAAGUAACAGUCCUGUUUCCCUGCAACACCAAAUUAAUGACAUUACAGUUCUUCAGAAAGGAGGAAUCAGCGAAACCAGUGCGUACCAGAGGCACGACCAACCUGCUGACCCCGAAAUUCAACUACGAGCUUUUUAACUGCAACAACUUUAAUAUACGCUAUUGGAGCUGGAAUUACCGCGGCUGCUGGCACCAGAACUUGCCCUCCAA
rnacentral:rRNA from 1 species